rnacentral:tRNA from 1 species
GGCCCCGUAGCUCAGUGGAUAGAGCAUCGGUUUCCUAAACCGUGUGUCGGACGUUCGAGUCGUCUCGGGGCCG